GUACACGCUGUGACUAGCAUAUCAAUAAGCGGAGGAAAAGAAACUAACAAGGAUUCCCCUAGUAACGGCGAGUGAAGCGGGAAGAGCUCAAAUUUGAAAUCUUAAAGGGUUUCCCUUUACGAAUUGUAGUUUAAAGAAGUGUUUUCUGUUGAGGUUUUGGUAAAAGUUCUUUGGAAUAGGACAUCAUAGAGGGUGAGAAUCCCGUAUUUGACCAUUACUUUUCAACUGUGUGAUACACUUUCAAAGAGUCGGAUUGUUUGGGAAUGCAGUCCAAAAUGGGUGGUAAAUUUCAUCUAAAGCUAAAUAUUGGCGAGAGACCGAUAGCGAACAAGUACCGUGAGGGAAAGAUGAAAAGAACUUUGAAAAGAGAGUUAAACAGUACGUGAAAUUGUCAAAAGGGAAGCGUUUGACACCAGUGUUGUUUUUCUGAAAAUCAAUUAAAGAACUGUUUAUGCUAAGUUGUUUAGACUUUAUCAGCUAUCUGUUUAGUUUUGAGCUUUUCUUUAAUGCACUUUUCAGUUAACAAGUCAACAUCAAUUUCUUUUGCUGUAAAAAAGCUUGAGGAAGGUGGCUUGAGAUUCGUCUUAAGUGUUUAUAGCCUCUUGCCUAUGCAGUCGGAGAGAUUGAGGUCUGCAGCGUAGAUCCUUCGGGGCUAAAUGCAUUUGUGCUAAGUUAUAGCAUUUUAUAGACAACUUGUUGACUAUGAUUUGUCUUGUAGCUUACUCGCUUAUGUUAUUUUACCUACGCUUAGGAUGUUGAUAUGCAUGACUGAUA
rnacentral:rRNA from 1 species